GCAGGAGAACAAUACCCCUGGAGAUGCGCGGAGUAGGCUAUGUCAUCCUAUGACCACAACGAUUGGCUGCUACUCAAGACGAGAGGUGAUAUUUUUAAAUAUUCGAUUCUUCAAUUGUCGUUUCAAAUCCUUGGACUGGUGGCUGGGAUUGUAUUAGUUAUUUGGAGCGACCUACUUGUACCCAAGUCCAAUUAGUAAGUUGAAUAUAGCCCUCUUGUUCUAACCAGGUGCAGUUGAACUGGAUGUUUUUGAUCCACUGCUUACUCUUGUUUUUUCUACAAAAAAUCUAAUCCUUGGAAAGUGGCAUGUUAAUUCUACAUUAGUCGCUAGUUCUAUGCACAUACAAUACUUAUUUGGGAAUGAAAACUGUAGCGCUUUAGCAAGAAAGGCUGAUUAAGCUAAUCUGGUCUCCCUCUAUGUACUUGUCAGGGCUCAUUAAUAGCAUGGUUCUGCUCACUGAAAUAGGAGAGAUGCUGAACAAGACAGAUGAAGAACAAAUGGCCAAGUACACUUGCUGGAAGAUUGAUGAAACAGAGAGCACAGGUAAAAAGUUAGACCAUAGGAACUGAGACUUGAGUAAUAGUUCAAGUCAGCUCAAAGUACUACUUCCACAACCGCAAAUUAUAAAUUUUAGAAGUACGAAUGAAGGCAUAAAAAUUAACACAGAUUGCUAGUUUAGGUCUUCAAUGAUUUCCGAACAGAUUGAAACUGUAAGCCUCGAUGAAUUCACGGUCCACACGUGUUUUAAGAAGCAUUUUAAAGGAAAUUGCAAUUGAAAUCCAUAUGCAACUACGUGUAGAUAUAUUUGCUGCUAUUAGUACAUUUUUUUCCUAUCCAAAGGUCUUCUAUUAUUUCGAUACCCAUCAUAUGUGAAAAUCUGUGGUGAUAAAAGAAACAUGUCUACAGUCUGAUGUAAUGGUAGGCAUGAUUUUAUUUUGAGUUUUGCAUAUAUUUAUCCUAGCAAUUACUCAUAGUUGACAUCUGGUAAUAUAUGUUUUACUCGAUCGAGCUCCUAGAUGCCUAACUAGAGCACAUUUGUUGUCUCGAAAAACAAGAUGUAUGUGCAAGCAUAUGUUCUUUGAAAUGGCUUUGUUUUCAUCAAGUGCACUCUUGCUACUACAUAUAUGACUUUCGGUACAUGUAUAUAUACAAGUGCAUAUCUGAUUGUUUGCUGAUGGAGGAACUUCAAAUGCAAAUCCCUAAAAUUACAAUAAGAACCUUAUUCCUGAUGCCGUAUAACAGAUCUGAUUGCUUAUCAAUGAGUGCAUAAUUUUUCAGAGUGAGCCAUGUGAUAUGCUAUGUGCUAGCCUGUCUCUGGUUGAUGUUCUGAGAACGGUAUCUUUUGUAAUCUAUUGGCAACGCAUCUACUUUCUAGAUCUUUAAGAUCGGAAACUCUCAUUUUCUAAAGAUUGCUCAAAUAUACGAGUUCUUUUGCAGAGACAGAUGGCAAAGCAUAGCAAGGCCACAAGUUGAUCUAAGAUGUUUUGGUGAUUGCUUCGUUCAUAACAUGGUUGACACAUUUUGUUCACAUGGAAGUUAAUGUUGAUUUGGCGAUCAAAGACUUGGUCUCUCUUUAAUGGUAAAAAAAGGAGACUUGGGCUCUUCCAUGAUAUUUUUUAGUAGUCAUAGAUGUUCUAGUGAUUGAACAAUUGGUCUCAUAGGAACUUGGCCACUACAUUUUGUAGCAGACCAUGGUUUGAAUGCCAACUUAUGUAUGUCCUUAAUUGUUGGAGCUAAAUUCAGUGAAGAAAACUAAUGAAUCUUCUAUAUAUGUUGAA
rnacentral:lncRNA from 1 species